GUUAAGUGACUAAGCGUAUACGGUGGAUGCCUAGGCAGUUAGAGGCGAUGAAGGACGUGUAAGUCUGCGAAAAGCUGUGGUGAGCCGACAAAAUGCAUUUGAGCCACAGAUGUCCGAAUGGGGAAACCCACCUGUUUACAGGUAUCGUUACAUGAAUACAUAGUGUAACGAGGCGAACGAGGGGAACUGAAACAUCUAAGUACCCGGAGGAAAGGAAAUCAAUAGAUACUCCCCUAGUAGCGGCGAGCGAACGGGGACCAGCCGAGCUGUGAGUGUGAAUAGAAUGGUCUGGAAUGGCCAACCAUAGUGGGUGACAGUCCCGUAUAAUAAGCAUGAUCAGACGUAUUAAGUAGGGCGGAACACGUGAAAUUCUGUCUGAAGAUCGGAGGACCACCUUCGAAGGCUAAGUACUCCUUACUGACCGAUAGUGAACCAGUACCGUGAGGGAAAG
rnacentral:rRNA from 1 species